rnacentral:rRNA from 1 species
GGAAUAUUGGUCAAUGGGCGAGAGCCUGAACCAGCCAAGUAGCGUGAAGGAUGAAGGUCCUACGGAUUGUAAACUUCUUUUAUACGGGAAUAAAGUUUCCUACGUGUAGGAUUUUGUAUGUACCGUAUGAAUAAGCAUCGGCUAACUCCGUGCCAGCAGCCGCGGUAAUACGGAGGAUGCGAGCGUUAUCCGGAUUUAUUGGGUUUAAAGGGAGCGCAGACGGGAGAUUAAGUCAGUUGUGAAAGUUUGCGGCUCAACCGUAAAAUUGCAGUUGAUACUGGUUUCCUUGAGUGCAGUUGAGGCAGGCGGAAUUCGUGGUGUAGCGGUGAAAUGCUUAGAUAUCACGAAGAACCCCGAUUGCGAAGGCAGCUUGCUAAACUGUAACUGACGUUCAUGCUCGAAAGUGUGGGUAUCAAACAGGAUUAGAUACCCUGG